rnacentral:rRNA from 1 species
AGUGAACGCUGGCGGUAGGCCUAACACAUGCAAGUCGAACGGCAGCACAGUAAGAGCUUGCUCUUACGGGUGGCGAGUGGCGGACGGGUGAGGAAUACAUCGGAAUCUACUUUUUCGUGGGGGAUAACGUAGGGAAACUUACGCUAAUACCGCAUACGACCUACGGGUGAAAUCAGGAGAUCUUCGGACCUUGCGCGAUUGAAUGAGCCGAUGUCGGAUUAGCUAGUUGGCGGGGUAAAGGCCCACCAAGGCGACGAUCCGUAGCUGGUCUGAGAGGAUGAUGAGCCACACUGGAACUGAGACACGGUCCAGACUCCUACGGGAGGCAGCAGUGGGGAAUAUUGGACAAUGGGCGCAAGCCUGAUCCAGCCAUACCGCGUGGGUGAAGAAGGCCUUCGGGUUGUAAAGCCCUUUUGUUGGGAAAGAAAAGCAGCAGGUUAAUACCCCGCUGUUCUGACGGUACCCAAAGAAUAAGCACCGGCUAACUUCGUG